CGCUUGAGAGAACUCGGGUGAAGGAACUAGGCAAAAUGGUACCGUAACUUCGGGAGAAGGUACGCUCUUGAUGGUGAAGUCCCUCGCGGAUGGAGCUGACGAGAGUCGCAGAUACCAGGUGGCUGCAACUGUUUAUUAAAAACACAGCACUGUGCAAAAUCGCAAGAUGACGUAUACGGUGUGACGCCUGCCCGGUGCCGGAAGGUUAAUUGAUGGGGUUAGCGCAAGCGAAGCUCUUGAUCGAAGCCCCGGUAAACGGCGGCCGUAACUAUAACGGUCCUAAGGUAGCGAAAUUCCUUGUCGGGUAAGUUCCGACCUGCACGAAUGGCGUAAUGAUGGCCACGCUGUCUCCACCCGAGACUCAGUGAAAUUGAAAUCGCUGUGAAGAUGCAGUGUACCCGCGGCUAGACGGAAAGACCCCGUGAACCUUUACUACAGCUUGGCACUGAACAUUGAACCUACAUGUGUAGGAUAGGUGGGAGGCUAUGAAGACGUGACGCCAGUUGCGUUGGAGCCGUCCUUGAAAUACCACCCUUGUAUGUUUGAUGUUCUAACUUAGACCCAUUAUCUGGGUUGAGGACAGUGCCUGGUGGGUAGUUUGACUGGGGCGGUCUCCUCCCAAAGAGUAACGGAGGAGCACGAAGGUGGGCUAAUCACGGUUGGACAUCGUGAGGUUAGUGCAAUGGCAUAAGCCCGCUUAACUGCGAGAAUGACGGUUCGAGCAGGUGCGAAAGCAGGUCAUAGUGAUCCGGUGGUUCUGUAUGGAAGGGCCAUCGCUCAACGGAUAAAAGGUACUCCGGGGAUAACAGGCUGAUACCGCCCAAGAGUUCAUAUCGACGGCGGUGUUUGGCACCUCGAUGUCGGCUCAUCACAUCCUGGGGCUGAAGUCGGUCCCAAGGGUAUGGCUGUUCGCCAUUUAAAGUGGUACGCGAGCUGGGUUUAGAACGUCGUGAGACAGUUCGGUCCCUAUCUGCCGUGGGCGUUGGAAGAUUGAAGGGGGCUGCUCCUAGUACGAGAGGACCGGAGUGGACGAACCUCUGGUGUUCGGGUUGUGUCGCCAGACGCAUUGCCCGGUAGCUAAGUUCGGAAUUGAUAAGCGCUGAAAGCAUCUAAGCGCGAAGCGAGCCCUGAGAUGAGUCUUCCCUGACAGUUUAACUGUCCUAAAGGGUUGUUCGAGACUAGAACGUUGAUAGGCAGGGUGUGUAAGCGUUGUGAGGCGUUGAGCUAACCUGUACUAAUUGCCCGUGAGGCUUAACCAU
rnacentral:rRNA from 1 species